AGCGCAGAGCACUUACUGAAGGCUUUCCCGCACAGGUGACACUCGUACGGCUGCUCUCCGGUGUGCGUCCUCUCGUGCUGUCUGAGGUUGGAGGACUGGCUGAACGCUUUCCCGCACAGAUGACAUUCGUACGGCUUCUCCCCAGUGUGCGUCAGGCUGUGUUUCCUGAGGUCGGAGCUCUGGAUGAAGGCGUUCCCGCAGAUGUGGCACUCGUAGGGCUUCUCUCCAGUGUGCGUCAUCUCGUGUCGCCUGAGGCUGGAGCAGUUACCGAAGGCUUUUCCGCACAGGGUGCCUUUUCUGUGUGAGCUAACAAAUGGUGAGUCAACAAGAAGCUGCCAGUGAGAUCGUCUUCCAAGUCAUCACAUUCAACGGGACCCUCCAGAGUGUGAGGCUUCUGCUUGGGGGCAGAGAGAGGAAAGGAAAUACCCCUCUGAAGCCCACACGGCUGCUGCUCACCUGGGCCCUGGCCUCGGAGAGAUCUACUGCCUUCCCCCCACAGCUCUUCUCCGUGCUCCAGCUGGAAAACCACAGCUGACUGGCAGUGCUGACACCCUGCUCAUUGAAGAAAGGAUAACAGCAGCCCCGUGACUGGAUGUGGUUCUGCGGGGCUUACGGAGUUUCCGGGCGUCUUCAGUUGUGCGCCCCUCCCUUCUCCGCACGACCCAGCCGCCGCUGUGGAAGUCAUCCUGCCUACACGCUGACUGUAGUCACCCCACAUGCUUUAAAAGGUUAACUAAUUCCAACAAGGCAAAAUGUGUGACUGGAGGCAUGAAAACUUGGUUCUCUUUUUAAGAAGUUUCCCCAAGUACAAAUAUAUUCUAUCACAACUUUAAAAUCAGACAAAAUGAGUGAUUCUUCAUGCCUUUCCUGGCCUAAACUUUUCUCAUGCUCCUUUCAACACCUCAGGACCCCAAGUGGGACCUGUCACCUCCCUACUGGACUGCAGGGUCCUCCUCGCUCUUCACCACAACCCGUUACGAGGGACCAUUUGAGCAGACACCCUGAUGACUGAGUGAAUUAUUUCCCAGUAAGGACAUGGACUAAGCUAGAGGAAGAAAAUCUAUCUUCUUUUCUGUAUAUACACAAGCGUAAUGGAGGCUGGGAUAAACUAGUGAUAUGAGGAAGGUGACUACUUACUGAGAGUCCUGACCCCUUGGGACGAUCCCAGAGCAGUGGGGCAGGGUCGCUGGAGCUCCCAUCCCUGACCGCUCCCUGGCUGCACCGGGAGUGCCCAUGGCAGCAGGGAGACCCGCCCACAGAAGGCACGAGGGUGGUCACAGAAAGAGGCAGUCCCCACUCACCAGAGGCUGCAUGGCCACUAAGCCAGCUGCAGGGUCCUUCUCCGGGGUCUCACUCACACAGUCCAAGCACUAGGCAGGCAAAGCUGAGGACGGAGAAGGAAGCCAUAAGAUCCAGUCCCAGUUCACCUGUUACCAAGCCCCAAACCUUCACCUGGCUGUGACCCCCACCCCCCACCUUUCCAACCAAGGUGCAGUGGGCUGGACAAAAACCAGAGGACUCGCCUCCUCUCCCAAGGUCUAAUGUUAAGAAGACUGACUACAGCUGCUGAAAAAAAAAGAUGCUAAUAUGUUGUCUCAUGAUAGGAACACUCAAAGCACUGAGCCCACAGCAUCCAUCCCUCCCUGACUCCAGAGGGUGGGGGUCCUGGACUCACGCUGCACAAUUCUGGUUUCCAUCUGGAGGUACAUACUGGAGUUCCUCAGCUCUCGUGACUCUCAUACACAAGCAGUGGCUGUGCCUGGCCACCUUCUGGAGCCACACUUCCCUCCUGCUCUCCUUCAACUCCAACUUUUCCACCCGUCCCCCAUGGACAUAGAUGUCAAAACCUAACAGUUUGUUUCAGGAUUGCGUUACUCAGUUCAAGAACUUAACUCCAUCUGGAGGGAUCGAUGGUACUCAUUCUGCUAGUGCUUACAACGUCCCUGCAUCAGAAAGGCGAGUACAGGACUCAUGAUGCUCCUGUCAUGUGCUGUCCCCAUCCUCUAGGUCAGGGAUGUUCAGAUAAUUUGGGAUGACUGAGGCUCAGGAGGAAAUCUAGCUGCUCUAUUUGAUUAUUUUAGUUAAGUGGUAGCUCGAGUCCUUGAAAUCCUGUUCUAGAUAAAUCCUCAUUAGCUGCACUAUCCUGCGUUUCUUACACACACACACACACACACACACACACACACACACACACACACACAGGUACAUGUGCAUAUACAGAUAAACACAAAAUUUGUGUGAAAGAGUGAGAAAGCCAUUCAUAAACUGCAGAUUCUCCUCUAAAAUGCCAAUAAUCAAAUGUAUAAUUAAAUGUAUUUACUGUAAAUAUUUAAUAUACUGUAAAAUACUGUAAAAAUGUAUUAACUAUAAUUUCUCCCCUAAAAUACCAAUAAUAAUUAAAUGUAUGUGUCACCAUGGGAAAAUGCUGACAAUGUGUCAUAAGCAAAAAUAGUAUCGACUCACCCAUUUGUACCUGAGGUCCAGAAAAAGAGGAAAAAAAGGGAAAUUUGUAUCAAAUGUGACUCUGCUGGGAUCUUUACAUGUAUUUACUUAUUUAUUCCUCACAAGAGACUUGGUGAUUUUAAUUUAACAAAGGACCUGAAGAGAAGAGGUUCAUAAAACUUCGUUACCUUCUAUCUGGAAUAUUGCAGCACUUGUGACUUAAUGUGAAGCCCUCUGCUCUCACUACAACCUCCUCCCCUUUUCACUUUUUCACAGAAAUACACCCGUACCCAGGUCUCUGUGCGCAGGAGCCCACAGCAAGUGCCUUUCAUGCACCUGCCUUUUCUGUGGCUCUACAUGACACACGUGGCAAAGGUUGAUCCGUGUCUGAAAACACAACCACUCCUCCCAGGGGUUUCCCAAGGUGUCUGGCAGCUCUGCUUUGGGGAGUUAAAUCACUCUUCCAUGCUCCGUCGAUAUUUCAGAUCCCCAUGCCUUUUCAAUCUACACAGUCUCACCUUUCAAAGACAAGAUUCUUCGCUCCCCCCCCCCCCACAGUGUUAGUUUGCUCAGGCUGCUGUAACAGCACCACUAACCAAGGGGUUCCAACAACACAAGCGUGUUUCCGCACGGC